GUGAAAUUCCGUCGGAAUCUGGGAGGACCAUCUCCUAAGGCUAAAUACUCUCUAGUGACCGAUAGUGAACCAGUACCGUGAGGGAAAGGUGAAAAGCACCCCGGAAGGGGAGUGAAAUAGAACCUGAAACCGUGUGCUUACAAGUAGUCAGAGCCCGUUAAUGGGUGAUGGCGUGCCUUUUGUAGAAUGAACCGGCGAGUUACGAUUUGAUGCAAGGUUAAGCAGUAAAUGUGGAGCCGUAGCGAAAGCGAGUCUGAAUAGGGCGUUUAGUAUUUGGUCGUAGACCCGAAACCAGGUGAUCUACCCUUGGUCAGGUUGAAGUUCAGGUAACACUGAAUGGAGGACCGAACCGACUUACGUUGAAAAGUGAGCGGAUGAACUGAGGGUAGCGGAGAAAUUCCAAUCGAACCUGGAGAUAGCUGGUUCUCUCCGAAAUAGCUUUAGGGCUAGCCUCAAGUGAUGAUUAUUGGAGGU
rnacentral:rRNA from 1 species